rnacentral:rRNA from 1 species
UGGGGAAUAUUGGACAAUGGGGGGAAUCCUGAUCCAGCCAUGCCGCGUGUGUGAAGAAGGCCUUAUGGUUGUAAAGUAUUUUAAGCGAGGAGGAGGGUCCGGGUAUUAAUACUACCAGGUACCGGACGUUAUUCGCAGAAUAAGCACCGGCUAACUCUGGCCCGCCAGCUGCGGUAAUACUGAGGGUGCGAGCGUUAAUUGGAUUUACUGGGCGUAAACCGUGCGUAGGCGGCUAAUUGAGUCGGAUGUGAAAUCCCCGAGCUUAACUUGGGAAUUGCAUUCGAUACUGGUUAGCUAGAGUGUGGGAGAGGAUGGUAGAAUUCCAGGUGUAGCGGUGAAAUGCGUAGAGAUCUGGAGGAAUACCGAUGGCGAAGGCAGCCAUCUGGCCUAACACUGACGCUGAGGUACGAAAGCAUGGGGAGCAAACAAG